ACUCCUGGGAGGCAUUUUCAGGGCUGAAUCUUGGGGUUUGGGAGGUUUAUGUGAACUGCAGAGGCCGCUGCAUUGUAGAGAUGGACUUGGGCAGAGGGACCUUCAAAGUCAAUGUGGUCAUCCCAUGUUUUCCCCAAACCAGGAUUUCUUAUUUCCCAAACCUUGCAAGAUGGAGAAGUAGGCUGUGAGGAAGAGGAAGAUGUCCCGAGACACCCAUGCAACAAGGCGCUGAGGAAAGAGACCAGGCAGGACAAAUCCCCACGGCAGAACCUCGUGGAAGAGGCCAUUUUGAGUGACUCCACAGCACAGGAAUCCAAUGGGGAGGAAAAGCCCUGGAGAUCCCUCAGGAGAAGGGGCUGCAGACCCAUCCCAGGGUGCUCCGAGGAGGAAAGACCCACGCUGUGCCAGGAAGGUGGGUGGAGAUCAAGCCAAAGCUUGGAGCUGGUGGUCCAUGAGCAGCUUCAUUAUAGGAGAAGCCCUGCAAGUCCUUGCAGUGUGGGAAGAGCUUCAGCACAAGGUCCAACCUUACCCACCACCAGAGGGUCCACAUCAGGGAACGGCCCCAGGAGCGUGGGGAACGUGGCAGGGACUGCAGAGACAGCUCCAACCUGAUCAAACACCACAUGAACUACACCGGGGAGAGGCCCCACGAGUGUCCCCAGUGUGGGAAGAGGUUUCACACCAGCUCCCAUCUCCUCGUGCACCAGUGGAUUCACUCAGAUGAGAGGUCCUUUUGCUGCAGGAAGGGCUUCAAGCAAAACUCUGUCCUCGUCGCCCACCAGCACAUCCACACCGGGGAGAGGCCCCACGAGUGUCCCCAGUGUGGGAAGAGCUUCACCCACAGCUCUACCUUGACCAAACACCAACAGAUCCACCUGCAAGAGAAGCCCUGAGAGUGCCCUGACGGUGGGAAGAGCUUCGUGUGCUGCUCCAACUCCACCCCCAUCAGAGGACUCCUGUUGGGAAGAGCCCUGGUUGAGUGGUCCAUGCUGAGAAAACACCUGGCUGCUGGUCUUCACAUCCUGCUGGGUCUCCACAGGCACCUGGAUGAACACAGGGGCAGGAACAUCCAUCAGGACUUGCAUCAAAAUUGGAAAUUCCUUGGAAAGAAGUGAUUUGUUGACUUUACACCCCAAACAAUCUCAUCUACUCUGUCCAAUUGGUUCCUCUGUUGGCAUCAAGCAGUGUUGCAUGAUCUUGGAGGUCUUUUCUAUCUAAAUAAUUUCCAUCUUCAUCCUAUCAAAACAACCCAAAAUGUGGUAAAAAUACAGAAAUGAAACAAA